GAUGAACGCUGGCGGCGUGCCUAACACAUGCAAGUCGAACGGAGUCCAGCCUUUAAGACCUUCGGGUCAAAGAGGGGAAGACUGAGUGGCGGACGGGUGAGUAACACGUGGGCAACCUGGCUCAUAGAGGGGGAUAACAGAGAGAAAUUUCUGCUAAUACCGCAUAAGCACACACUGCCGCAUGGCAGAGGGUGAAAAGAGAAUCGCUAUGAGAUGGACCCGCGUCUGAUUAGCCAGUUGGCAGGGUAAGAGCCUACCAAAGCGACGAUCAGUAGCCGAUCUGAGAGGAUGAACGGGCACAUUGGGAAUGAGACACGGCCCCAACCCCUACGGGAGGCAGGCGUGGGGGAUAUUGCAAAAUGGGGGGAACCCUGAUGCAGCGACGCCGCGUGAGUGAAGAAGUAUUUCGGUAUGUAAAGCUCUAUCAGCAGGGAAGAUAAUGACAGUACCUGAAUAAGAAGCCCCGGCUAACUACGUG
rnacentral:rRNA from 1 species